CUUUGCUUGGGUCUUCCAACUUCAAAGUCCCGCCAGAUAUGGUAUAUCAAGUGAUCUUUUAUUUCCCUCAAUGACUAGCAUUCAACUGGUGAGGACAUUUGUGUCCCAACCUCUAUCCUCUCAAAGAAGUUAUCCUGUCCUGAUGCUCUUAACACCGCCCUAUUGUUCCAAAGGUAUCCCUUUUUUGAUAAUUCUACUGACAUUGGUUCCCUAUAUUGCUGUUUUUUUUAAUGAAAAGGUCAGGAAACUUGAUGUAUUGGCUGUAACCUGCAGCCUCUGUCACACACACACACAGAUUUUAAUAUCAAUGUCUGCUAUUACAUCAAUAAAAUUUGACUUUAUGAAA